ensembl:lncRNA
GAAGCCAGAGGUGAACAUGUUAUUUUCUACCACUCCCCAAUUUGUAAUUUUGAAACAGGGUCUCUCACUGAACCUCACCAAUUUGGCUUGAGUGUCUGGCCACCGAUCUCCAGGGAGUCUCCUGUCUCUAUCCCCCUAUUGCAGGUCACCAUUCUGGAUUCUUAUGUGACUAUUGGGGAAUGGAAGUGGAUGGAACUUGGAACUCCCAGUUCUCCUGCCUGGUGUGAUGAAGCAUAUUAAUGUGGAGAAUGAAGAAAAUGAUCAGACCCCUUCAGAGCCAGGAGAAAUCUUCAAAAGAAGAAAGUUGUUCAAAAGCCCAAGAAAGCCUGGAAAACAAAGACAAUGAACCUGAAAAAAGAGAGCUCAGAGAAUAAGAAUGCAAGUGAAUCUAAGUCACUUGAUACUGGGCCACCUAGUGCCCUCCAAAAAGAUUGUGCAUAUAAGACUACUAAACAAAGUUUAAAGGAAGAAAAAGCAAAAUUGACUAGGCGGGUUUAGAAGGAAGACCUUCUCCAGAGCUUAAAGUUAGUCAAAAUGUAUAAAGAAUGACAUGAGUGAGUUAGAGGAUUUAAUUAAGAAGUGGAAAUGUGGCCAGCGGCCAUUGAUCAUCGAGGAUGAGGACGAGGAACUGACCUCACUGAGUUGAUCCACUACUGUGGGACAGAUGUCAAAUUGCUGCAUUAUGAUAAACGUGAAGAAGAAUUUACAGGGGUUUGAUGCUGUUAUUUUUUUUCAGGCUUUUGUCCCCCUCUCUUCUUGGGGUAAUGG